rnacentral:rRNA from 1 species
AGAGUUUGAUCCUGGCUCAGGACGAACGCUGGCGGCGUGCUUAACACAUGCAAGUCGAACGGAGCACCCUUGAUUGAGGUUUCGGCCAAAUGAUAGGAAUGCUUAGUGGCGGACUGGUGAGUAACGCGUGAGGAACCUGCCUUUCAGAGGGGGACAACAGUUGGAAACGACUGCUAAUACCGCAUGACGCAUUUUGAUCGCAUGGUCGAAAUGCCAAAGAUUUAUCGCUGAAAGAUGGCCUCGCGUCUGAUUAGCUAGUUGGUGAGGUAACGGCCCACCAAGGCGACGAUCAGUAGCCGGACUGAGAGGUUGACCGGCCACAUUGGGACUGAGAUACGGCCCAGACUCCUACGGGAGGCAGCAGUGGGGAAUAUUGGGCAAUGGGCGCAAGCCUGACCCAGCAACGCCGCGUGAAGGAAGAAGGCUUUCGGGUUGUAAACUUCUUUUAAGUGGGAAGAGUAGAAGACGGUACCACUUGAAUAAGCCACGGCUAACUACGUGCCAGCAGCCGCGGUAAUACGUAGGUGGCAAGCGUUGUCCGGAUUUACUGGGUGUAAAGGGCGUGCAGCCGGGCAUGCAAGUCAGAUGUGAAAUCUCAGGGCUUAACCCUGAAACUGCAUUUGAAACUGUAUGUCUUGAGUGCCGGAGAGGUAAUCGGAAUUCCUUGUGUAGCGGUGAAAUGCGUAGAUAUAAGGAAGAACACCAGUGGCGAAGGCGGAUUACUGGACGGUAACUGACGGUGAGGCGCGAAAGCGUGGGGAGCGAACAGGAUUAGAUACCCUGGUAGUCCACGCUGUAAACGA